rnacentral:rRNA from 1 species
GAUGAACGCUGGCGGCGUGCCUAAUACAUGCCAGUCGAGCGAACAGAUGAGGAGCUUGCUCCUCUGACGUUAGCGGCGGACGGGUGAGUAACACGUGGAUAACCUACCUCUAAGACUGGGAUAACUUCGGGAAACCGGAGCUAAUACCGGAUAAUAUAUUGAACCGCAUGGUUCAAUAGUGAAAGACGGUUUUGCUGUCACUUAUAGAUGGAUCCGCGCCGCAUUAGCUAGUUGGUAAGGUAACGGCUUACCAAGGCAACGAUGCGUAGCCGACCUGAGAGGGUGAUCGGCCACACUGGAACUGAGACACGGUCCAGACUCCUACGGGAGGCAGCAGUAGGGAAUCUUCCGCAAUGGGCGAAAGCCUGACGGAGCAACGCCGCGUGAGUGAUGAAGGUCUUCGGAUCGUAAAACUCUGUUAUUAGGGAAGAACAAAUGUGUAAGUAACUAUGCACGUCUUGACGGUACCUAAUCAGAAAGCCACGGCUAACUACGUG